AGCAGUAGGGAAUCUUCCGCAAUGGGCGAAAGCCUGACGGAGCAAUGCCGCGUGAGUGAAGAAGGCCUUCGGGUCGUAAAACUCUGUUAUAAGAGAAGAACAAAUUGUAGAGUAACUGCUACAGUCUUGACGGUAUCUUAUCAGAAAGCCACGGCUAACUACGUGCCAGCAGCCGCGGUAAUACGUAGGUGGCAAGCGUUGUCCGGAUUUAUUGGGCGUAAAGGGAGCGCAGGUGGUUUCUUAAGUCUGAUGUGAAAGCCCACGGCUUAACCGUGGAGGGUCAUUGGAAACUGGGAAACUUGAGUACAGAAGAGGAAUGUGGAACUCCAUGUGUAGCGGUGGAAUGCGUAGAUAUAUGGAAGAACACCAGUGGCGAAGGCGACAUUCUGGUCUGUUACUGACACUGAGGCUCGAAAGCGUGGGGAGCAAACAGGAUUAGAUACCCUGGUAGUCCAUGCCGUAAACGAUGAGUGCUAGGCGUUGGAGGGUUUCCGCCCUUCAGUGCCGCAGUUAACGCAUUAAGCACUCCGCCUGGGGAGUACGACCGCAAGGUUG
rnacentral:rRNA from 1 species